rnacentral:lncRNA from 1 species
UGACUAAACCUGUUCACCACCUCCUGUGAAGACGUCCUGUUCUCACACAUUGAGUUUUUUCAAUGUAGUGAACAAGGAGCCUAUAUGACAACCUGGAGGAUUAUUAUGAUGCUUAUUUACGCCGCUGCAGUCAGCAGCAAAGCUGGGGUGGAUUCAGGCCCCUGAGGCUCCUAUGAGGCUGAGCAAUGGAUGCUGAAAGCAGAGAUUCUUCCCGUGAACCUCGGAGAGAAUGUUUGCAUGCCAUGUCAUGGACCUGCAAAAGCACAAAUCGUGUUGGUGGAGUGGACCAGACCAGACCUGGAGUCACCUGAGUAUGUAUUUUUCUUCCGGGAUGAGCGAUCCUACACGUCCUACCAGCACUGGUCCUUUGUGGGUCGGGUGGAGCUGAAGGAUAAAGAGAUGAAGAAUGGAGACGUGUCCCUAAUUCUGAGCAGCGUGAGAAUCAGUGACGUCGGUGUGUAUGAGUGUCGGAUCUCACAAGGAAAGACAAGGUCAAAGAGAGCCAACAUCAAGAUGGAGCCGAUCCAAGUCAUCAGCCUGAAGGUGGAGGAGGAAGGUGAGAUGGAGACAGAGAACGUCAGUCAGUGUUCGGCCAUUCCACAUCAAUAUGAAGGUGUUGUCAGGUCUAACGACUCCACAAUGAGCUGCUGGAUGCCAAUAUUUGUCUGAAUAUAAACAAACUAUGGUUCUGAAAUGGAGGCAUCAGGCCUCACUCAGGCUCUUGAUCAGCCUCAAUGAACAUCUGGCCUCAACAAGGAGGCCUCUGUCCCACUGUCUGACAAACAUUCUUUGUGUUUUCCAGGCGCUAAAACCAACGUCUGGCACAUCGGAGCUGCGGCGAGUCUCAUCCUGUCUGCUGUGGUCGUGAUACUUGUUGCUGUGAUCUUCAAAAAACGUAAUAGGGAGCAAAAAUAAAUACUGCACUUCUUUACA